rnacentral:rRNA from 1 species
CCCAGACUCCUACGGGAGGCAGCAGUGGGGAAUAUUGGACAAUGGGGGGAACCCUGAUCCAGCGACGCCGCGUGAGUGAAGAAGUAUUUCGGUAUGUAAAGCUCUCUCAGCAGGGAAGAAAGAAAUGACGGUACCUGACUAAGAGGCCCCGGCUAACUACGUGCCAGCAGCCGCGGUAAUACGUAGGGGGCAAGCGUUAUCCGGAUUUACUGGGUGUAAAGGGAGCGUAGACGGCGAUGCAAGUCUGAAGUGAAAGGCGGGGGCCCAACCCCCGGACUGCUUUGGAAACUGUACGGCUGGGGUGCAGGAGAGGUAAGUGGAAUUCCUAGUGUAGCGGUGAAAUGCGUAGAUAUUAGGAGGAACACCAGUGGCGAAGGCGGCUUACUGGACUGUAACUGACGUUGAGGCUCGAAAGCGUGGGGAGCAAACAGGAUUAGAUACCCCAGUACG